GCCCAAAGUCGCACGUGCCCAUGUGUGUCCGCCGACCCUCGAUGUGGUGAGGAGUUCGGUAAGGUACCUGGAAUUAACCCCUCCAGUCGCUGUUCCGGCCAACCGGAUAUGCGAGGACAUACGAAGCAACGACGGUGCGGGCCUUU
rnacentral:sRNA from 1 species